rnacentral:rRNA from 1 species
AUUGAACGCUGGCGGCAGGCCUAACACAUGCAAGUCGAACGGUAACAGGGAUCAGCUUGCUGAUUCGCUGACGAGUGGCGGACGGGUGAGUAAUGUCUGGGAAACUGCCUGAUGGAGGGGGAUAACUACUGGAAACGGUAGCUAAUACCGCAUAACGUCGCAAGACCAAAGAGGGGGACCUUCGGGCCUCUUGCCAUCGGAUGUGCCCAGAUGGGAUUAGCUGGUAGGUGGGGUAACGGCUCACCUAGGCGACGAUCCCUAGCUGGUCUGAGAGGAUGACCAGCCACACUGGAACUGAGACACGGUCCAGACUCCUACGGGAGGCAGCAGUGGGGAAUAUUGCACAAUGGGCGCAAGCCUGAUGCAGCCAUGCCGCGUGUAUGAAGAAGGCCUUCGGGUUGUAAAGUACUUUCAGCGGGGAGGAAGGGAGUAAAGUUAAUACCUUUGCUCAUUGACGUUACCCGCAGAAGAAGCACCGGCUAACUCCGUG